UACAGAGGGUGCAAGCGUUAAUCGGAAUUACUGGGCGUAAAGCGUGCGCAGGCGGUUGUGCAAGACAGAUGUGAAAUCCCCGGGCUUAACCUGGGAACUGCAUUUGUGACUGCACGGCUAGAGUGUGUCAGAGGGGGGUAGAAUUCCACGUGUAGCAGUGAAAUGCGUAGAUAUGUGGAGGAAUACCGAUGGCGAAGGCAGCCCCCUGGGAUAACACUGACGCUCAUGCACGAAAGCGUGGGGAGCAAACAGG
rnacentral:rRNA from 1 species